ensembl:lncRNA
CUACCAUAAAGUUGUCCCCCCCAACAAUCAUUGAAAAAAAAAAAAUUCAGAUUUUUUUGAAUUUUUUUUUUUUAAAUAAAAAUACGACGACACAAGCGGUGCUAAUUAUAGACGUAAAAAAUGUGUUUUUUAAGUGUUGAAAAAUCAUGUUCCGCCUAUUCCUCAAAGUGGUUUGGUUCACAUGCUGUUUCCAACGGGCAGGGCUACAGGCAGCUCCGUGUUUCAGUUAAUCAGCCCAGUAGCACACGGUCAGAUUGUCAGACUGUUUCCUCCUCUCUCCCCUGUCGCUGCAGCUAUGAUACACGAUAUGUAAAGAGAUCUACCUCAUUCUCGAACGCAUCACCCCACUGAUAGGGAGAAUCAUAACUCCCGAAGGCGGGACAGAGGCCAGGGAAUACCAGUGUGUCGCCGAUGCCAACUCCGCACCAACAAGCUUCGUGUGGAGAUACCAGGGCCAGGCCUUGCCUGAUGGUGUGAGACCCGAGGGGGACAGACUGCACUUCCUCGAGUUGAACUCUGACCUUAACGGCGAGUAUAGCUGUGAGGUCACAAACCCAUAUGGGACGGCUGUGUACUCCAUAUAUCGCCACAUAGUUGACCCCGACGACACCCACAAUGAACUUUGACUGCUGCCCUGAUUUGUCAUUGUGGCUUUCUCUGGACCUGGCUGAAGAAGUCCAAAGUAUCAUGUCUGGCUCAAGUCUGGCUCUGGCUUGUAAUAUACUAGACUUCACAUGCAUAUACUUUCAUUCAUAUACUUGCUUUAUGCAUUAUUUAUUUAUCUUUGAUAUUCCAUCCAUUGCAAGCAGCUUCUUAGCCAAAUCCCAGUGCACUUGAGUGAUGUUAGAACAUACACACCUUCCUCUAUAAUGAGAGGUAUCCAUGAGUGCAUGCACAACUCAAAAUAGAUUGGCUACAGUAAAUAGUGAAAAAUGAAAAAUAUAAGCAGCCUCAUGUAAUGCACAGUAUGGUGUAUGAAUAAUGACAAUGUUAUAUAAUCCUAUAUAUUUGUAAGUUACUUGAAGUCAUUGCUCUUUGUCAUUUGCUCUUUGCCGUUUUGUGCUAUUGCAUUUCAAUAAAUA